UACGUAGGGCGCAAGCGUUUGUCCGGAAUUAUUGGGCGUAAAGAGCUCGUAGGCGGCUUGUCACGUCGGUUGUGAAAGCCCGGGGCUUAACCCCGGGUCUGCAGUCGAUACGGGCAGGCGUAGAGUGUGGUAGGGGAGAUCGGAAUUCCUGGUGUAGCGGUGAAAUGCGCAGAUAUCAGGAGGAACACCGGUGGCGAAGGCGGGUCUCUGGGCCGAUACUGACGCUGAGGAGCGAAAGCGUGGGGAGCGAACAGG
rnacentral:rRNA from 1 species